CUGAACUAAAACCCUAUCCCAUUUUCAUUUUUUAUUUUGAGACAGUGUCUCCCCACGUGGCUGAGUCUCCACCUGCAGGGCAGAAGCACCGUGCCCAGCACAGUUCAGCUCUACAGAAAAAUACAAGUAUUAAAAUGUCAUAAAGCAGGUGACCUAGGUAUUGUCACUGUCACGAGGCCAGCUGGACCAGGCAAGGCACAGCCACAGUGAGCUCAAAGGGGCUGGGUGAGAUCCCCACGGUGAGGUCCCUGCAGGUCCUGGGCAGCUGCCCCUGCAGAAUGAAGGCCAGCAUCGGCAGACCAGGUGAAACAGAGUCACAGUCUUCAGGGCUCCCUGCUGGAAAAAACCACUGUCCAAAACGAAUCCCACAAGCAAGAAAAUAAGUGCCGUCUGCUAUUUUCAAGACCUAAAGAUAUAGCAGUAUAGUCAAGGAAAAGGAAAAAUGGAAAAGAAAAAGCUUUUUAUUUCUACAGAGGCAUUUGUGAGGGAGGGCUGGUAAGAAGGAAGACAAUAACCAUAAGUUAACCAUUAGGCCCCGGUGCCUGGGCCAGACAGCAAAAGAAAACCCAAGUGAGUAUAUGCUAACCGAACACCCAGCUGUCUAACCAGCUGAGGUACACCGAGCCUAAAUUCUCCCCACCCCACCCCGAGGGAGUUAGGGUCCCCACCUUCCUGGAUCCCCUCCCUUCCUGCCGC
rnacentral:lncRNA from 1 species